GGAUUCUAUUAGUGGUGUCAUGUGUACUAUGCAUAACUACGGCGAGAAGAAAAGAAAGGAGGUAGUUGCUCAGCCCUGCAACCUUGCCCUCCUUAAAUUCGCUUAAGAUAAGAUCCUCUUCUCUUUAAUCUUGCACAUAAAAGCUUUCAGCUUUCAAGUGAAAACAGCAAGAUUCAAAAAUAAAGUUUUGUUUACCACCCAAUCCCCAUAAUAGAGCCAAGAAUUUCCUCACUGCACACUCAAUUCCUCAGUAAGAAUAUAUUCUUGGCUUGCUAAUCCAUUUUUUCUCUUGUAUAACCUCAAUUCAAGCAAGAAUGUCUUUUUGAGGUCAUGCACCUUUUUUUAAGGACUACAAAUUUCUGAAAUUGGAAAACACAAGUCAAAGAGUUGUUUUUGAACACACCCAUCUACUAGAAUGGGAAGAACUCUGUAUGAAAUCAAGCAAAAAUAUGGUUUUUCUAUAAACCCACCUCCUCUGUCUCCUCCCUCUUCAAUCUCAGCUCCUUAUAACAGUUUGAACUAUGAAAAACAAUCAAGUUCAUCAUCAUCAUCUUUUAACAGAAUUAGUCCUGUACUUCUUUUGGUUAUAAUAAUUCUAGCUGUCAUCUUCUUUGUUUCUGGUAUUCUCCAUUUGCUCGUUAGAUUUUUCAUGAAAAGAUCACAUUUUUCACCAAUUUAUCAUUCUAAUAGAUUCCCAGAAACCUCAAGGUCUCAUUCUCUGCAAAGACAACUUCAACAGCUCUUCCGGCAGCAUGACUCGGGUCUAGACCAAGCUUUCGUUGAUGCUUUGCCUGUAUUUUAUUAUAAAGAAAUCGUGGGUUUGAAGGAGCCAUUCGAUUGUGCAGUUUGUCUAUGUGAAUUCUCAGACAAGGACAAGCUCAGGUUGCUUCCCAUGUGCAGUCAUGCUUUUCACAUAGACUGUAUUGAUACGUGGCUUCUUUCAAACUCUACUUGCCCUCUUUGUAGAGGGACUCUUAUGAGCUCCAGUCUUCCCAUGGAAAAUCCAUUGUUCAAUUUUGAUGUUUUGAGGGAAGUAUCAAAUGGAUUCUCUAGCGAUGGAGAGAAUGGGUCUUCCAACGGUCCAAAACCAGGCAUUGUGGAGGAAAGUGUGGCUGAAAAGAGGGUAUUCUCAGUGAGACUCGGCAAGUUUAGAAGCCUGAAUGAGGGAGAACCUAGCGGAGAGAAAGGACAAGGAGAGACUAGCAGAUGUAAUUUAGAUGCUCGAAGAUGUUACUCAAUGGGCACAGUUCAAUAUGUGGUGGGCGAUUCAAAUCUGCAAGUGGCCUUGUCUCGUGAAAGUCUUAAUGGCAGAAGAGGCAAUGAGUGCCCUUCAAUUGAUGGGGAUGUGGAAGACAAGAAAAUUAGAAGCCGGACAACAGGAGAUAGCUUCUCAGUUUCAAAGAUUUGGCUUUGGUCUAAGAACAGAUAUCCAACUUCUUCAAGUACACAUAUAGAUAUGUCUUCGAUUACUGUAAGUCAAUUUGCCUAUCAAUGAUAGAGCCUGCAACUAUAAGAGAUGUAUAUUUUGGCGAUUCUUAUCGAUUCAACAUUCACUUAGCAGGGCCUGUAAAUAUCUUCUUAUAUGUGUUCGUAGCCCAUCUCAUAUGGGGAAUUGUUGCUGGGCAGGGGAGCCUUCAUCGGUUUAUCCACUUGGAUGAUCACCGCCAUCUGAGCAAGCUACGCUAAGGACCGACAUCUAACUAACCUUAAUUAGGAAGCAAUAGGUUAAUGUCUGCAAAAAUCAUCCGUGGCUACAAAGGAGAAAGGGAUUCUUUCUUUAUGUUCUGAAACCUUUGCAGAUGAUUCUUUCUCUGUGUUACAGCUUACAGGAGAUCUCUCUCUAUAUGCUGCAAAAUGUAAUCCUUUUCAAAGUUUCCAUUAAGGAAAAUUUUUAUCACAAGAUUUUUUUUUUGGAAAAAUAAAAUCCAUCGACCAUGAGGGGUACGAAAUAAUCCAAGUUAUUUGAAUUCACUUGUUACAAUAUUUAAGAUAAAUUAUAACUAAUCAUCUCAUUGUAAGAUAAAUUUUCGUCCUAUUGCAA
rnacentral:misc_RNA from 1 species